rnacentral:lncRNA from 1 species
AACACUGCAUCUUUGCAUUGUACUAAAGGUAGUAUUAAUUGUACAUCAAUAAAGACAUCUCUCAUUUUCCUUUCACUUUGUCUAGAAGUUUCUUACUAUAUCUCACAAUUUUCUAACCCUAAUUUCUCUCCUCCUUGCUAAAGUCGCUCUAUUCUCUCAACUCUUCGUUCUACUUCUCAGCUCUUCAAUGGCGAAUCCAUCUGUUGCUUAGUCUUUUCUGUUUGUCUACACACUCUCCAUCAUUCUAGAACACUCACCUUCCUCAUUAGCACAAAGUAGACGCAAGAUUUUCAAUACAAGCAUCAGUUCUUCCAUUCUCUUGCUCCAACUCCAACAACAACGAAUUCCAGGU